rnacentral:lncRNA from 1 species
UUUUUAUUUUUCAAAAUUUGAAAUCUUAUCCUCAAAACCUCAUUUCUAAACUCUAAACCCUAAACCCUAAACUCUAAACCCUAAACUCUAAACCCUAAACUAUAAAGCCUAAAUCCUAAACCCUAAAAUCUAAACCCUAAACACUAAACUCUAAACUCUAAACCCUAAACCCUAAACCCUAAAUCCUAAACCUCAUCCUUUAACUCUAAACC